UACGUAGGGUGCGAGCGUUGUCCGGAAUUAUUGGGCGUAAAGGGCUCGUAGGCGGUUUGUCGCGUCGGGAGUGAAAUCCACUGGCUUAACUGGUGGCUUGCUUUCGAUACGGGCAGACUGGAGGUAUGCAGGGGAGAACGGAAUUCCUGGUGUAGCGGUGAAAUGCGCAGAUAUCAGGAGGAACACCGGUGGCGAAGGCGGUUCUCUGGGCAUUACCUGACGAUGAGGAGCGAAAGUGUGGGGAGCGAACAGG
rnacentral:rRNA from 1 species